CAUGUAGAAGAAAGAUCAAUGGUUUCCAGGGAGCACAAGAGAGCAGGACUGCAUGAGAAACUGCAUCUUCUUCGUUCCAUUACUAAUUCUCAUGCUAUGAACAAAGCAUCAAUUAUAGUGGAUGCAUCAAAGUACAUCCAGAGCUAAAACAUAAAGUAGGAAGACUGAAUCAAGAUAUAGCAUCUGCACAAACUUCAAACAAUCGAAAUCCAUUGCCUAUGCAGGUUAAGGUGGAAACCCUAGAGAAGAGUUUUCUGAUAAAUGUAUUUUAAAACCCGGGGUGACUGA